AUGAAGCUCUGGGGUACUGAGGCUGCUUCAGGGGAGACAGAGCGCUGGCGGGAGAGUAAGACCUGUUUGGAGUCCUAGCUUUGCUUAACCGCUUGGUAGAUUUUGGCCACAUGGCCUCCGCAGUUAGGCCUGUGAACUAAGAAAGUCUGAUGACGUGGCCUCUGGACCUACUGUCCUCUUGUUGUGGGCUGGGAGCCCUGGGGCCUCAAGAGACAUCGGUGGCCAGAGGAACUCCAGCCCACCUGGGGAUAAACUUUUGCUCCGGUACUAGCCCUGAGGAAGCAGAAUUGGAAAGAACACCUGAUUCUUCAGAAGCCUGCAGAGCCUUCUAGCGGGAUUUGGGAUUAUCUGCUCCAGGGAUCACUCAGCCAGUUUUCCACCUAUUAAAUAGUUGAGAUUUGA